GCCUUCGUGGUGUAACGGUAACACAAUCGGCUCGUAUUCGAGAGAUCCAGGUUCGAAUCUCGGCGAUGGCA
rnacentral:tRNA from 1 species